rnacentral:rRNA from 1 species
AUUCCAGCUCCAAUAGCGUAUAUUAAAGUUGUUGCGGUUAAAAAGCUCGUAGUUGGAUUUCUGCCGAGGAUGACCGGUCCGCCCUCUGGGUGAGUAUCUGGCUCAGCCUUGGCAUCUUCCUGAAGAACGUAGCUGCACUUGACUGUGUGGUGCGGUAUUUAGGACAUUUACUUUGAGGAAAUUAGAGUGUUUCAAGCAAGCGCACGCCUUGAAUACAUUAGCAUGGAAUAAUAAGAUAGGACUAUGGUACUAUUUUGUUGGUUUGUGCACCAUGGUAAUGAUUAAUAGGGACAGUUGGGGGUAUUCGUAUUCCAUUGUCAGAGGUGAAAUUCUUGGAUUUAUGGGAGACGAACUACUGCGAAAGCAUUUACCAAGGAUGUUUUCAUUA